UGUGCCGUCCUAGAUAAGCGUCUGACAGCCAGCAUGCUCCCAACCAUUUCGGCACAUACACUACCAGGCUUUUCCACAGGCUCUCUACAAGACGGUUUUCUCAGCUGAAAUAGCCUGAGCAGCGUUUAAAAGGAUCCAUGAAAAACAAAACAAACCCACUGAGCACCAACCUUGAAAAGGCACCCAGACCUGCCACCCCAAACUGCAAAGAAACCAGGAAUUGGCAUUUGGCGCUACUGGCAUUAGGCCAUGUCAGGAACCAGCACCAAUUCCUUCUUCUCUAAUCAAAUAGCUAGCAUGAACCAGCUGUAAGCAGACAAAACAAAGAGAAAGCUUUUUCUAAGCUUAUUUCACCAACAAGGAGGAGUAGGAGAGCAGCGCAGCCUAAGAGGAG